AACGAACGCUGGCGGCAGGCCUAACACAUGCAAGUCGAACGCUCCGCAAGGGGGAGUGGCGCACGGGUGAGUAACACGUGGGAACCUACCUUCUGGUACGGAACAACCAAGAGAAACUUCGGCUAAGACCGUAUACGACCUCCGGGUGAAAGAUUGAUCGCCGGAAGAGGGGCCCGCGUCCGAUUAGGUAGUUGGUGAGGUAACGGCUCACCAAGCCUUCGAUCGGUAGCUGGUCUGAGAGGAUGACCAGCCACACUGGGACUGAGACACGGCCCAGACUCCUGCGGGAGGCAGCAGUGGGGAAUAUUGGACAAUGGGCGCAAGCCUGAUCCAGCCAUGCCGCGUGAGUGAUGAAGGCCUUCGGUU
rnacentral:rRNA from 1 species